rnacentral:miRNA from 1 species
AACAGGUUACCUGUGGUGCAGU